UCUCUGGUGGCUCAAAUGGUACAGAAUCUGCCUGCAACGCAGGAGACCCAGGUUCGAUCCCUGGGUUGGGAU
rnacentral:tRNA from 1 species